AUUGAACGCUGGCGGCAUGCCUUACACAUGCGAGUCGAACGGCAGCACGGGGCAACCUGGUGGCGAGUGGCGAACGGGUGAGUAAUGCAUCGGAACGUACCUUUCAGUGGGGGAUAACGUAGCGAAAGUUACGCUAAUACCGCAUAUUCUGUGAGCAGGAAAGCAGGGGAUCGCAAGACCUUGCGCUGAUUGAGCGGCCGAUGUCAGAUUAGCUAGUUGGUGAGGUAAAGGCUCACCAAGGCGACGAUCUGUAGCGGGUCUGAGAGGAUGAUCCGCCACACUGGAACUGAGACACGGUCCAGACUCCUACGGGAGGCAGCAGUGGGGAAUUUUGGACAUGGGGGCAACCCUGAUCCAGCCAUGCCGCGUGAGUGAAGAAGGCCUUCGGGUUGUAAAGCUCUUUCGGCCGGGAAGAAAUCGCACGGGCUAAUACCCUGUGUGGAUGACGGUACCGGAACAAGAAGCACCGGCUAACUACGUGCCAGCAGCCGCCGUAACAC
rnacentral:rRNA from 1 species